CCCUUAGAUGUUCUGGGCUGCACGCGCGCUACACUGAUGCACUCAACGAGUUUACGACCUUGCCCGAUAGGGUUGGGUAAUCUUUUUAAAAUGCAUCGUGAUGGGGAUAGAUUAUUGCAAUUAUUAAUCUUCAACGAGGAAUUCCUAGUAAGCGCGAGUCAUCAGCUCGUGCUGAUUACGUCCCUGCCCUUUGUACACACCGCCCGUCGCUCCUACCGAUUGAGUGCUCAGGUGAAUAAUUCGGACUGCAGCAAUGUUUGGAUCCCGAACGUUGCAGCGGAAAGUUUAGUGAACCUUAUCACUUAGAGGGAGGAGAAGUCGUAACA
rnacentral:rRNA from 1 species